rnacentral:lncRNA from 1 species
AGACUUUUGAAGAUUUUUUACUAUUUACUUUUUGAAAAAUCUGUAAAAGAAUCUUACUAUUUUAUAAAGUAAGAUUUGAUAGGAUAGCUUUUACUAUUCUCUUUUUGACGUUUUGAAAAAAGCAAAGAUUCCUUGCUUUUAGAUAACGUCUAUCUUAUUUUUCUUCUCCUAUAAAAGGAGAUCAUUCUUUCAUUUGUAAGAACACGGAAGAACAUAUAUACAAUACAAAUUUCUUAUUCUCUCAAAUAUGUUCUAAUUUUCUUUCUUUCCCGAAAGGGAAAUUCUUAAUUGUUCUUAUUCUUAGAUGAAAU